GCCAAUAAACAUUUAAACACAAUAAUAAAUAUAUAGACAUAAACAUAAGAUACAACAUCACAUUAUUAAAUUAAACUAAUAACAACACGAUACUUGACAGGACAGAUUACGGGACUUGUUACAAGACCAAACAUAUUGAUUUCCAAUGUUCUUGGAUCAUCCACGUCGUAUACUGUUUCUAAUGCUACUUUAUAAUACAAGAAAAGUCCAUUUUUGAACCGACUAAUAACUGUAGUGGUCUUGCAUCGUGUUGUCGUGAAUGACAAAUGGUCAGGAUCGGAUGAUCUUGUUUCUCUGUUGACACUUGCUGGUGGAGGCAGGAAAUGUUCUUCAAUUCUCAUGAGUCCAUGAAUUAGUUUGCAAAACACAACCAUAUCCAGAAAUUCAUGCCAGUAGCUCAAUGGAAUAAGCCCUAUGUAGUCUCACAAGGGAAGGGUAGGUCCAAGACAUACGUAGUCGUGUGUCGUUGAAGUCUUUCUGUGCGUUGGAUUAGACCGAUGAUUUGUGGCACGAACGAGAGUGAAGUAUAGAGUGAGUGCGGCGAACUGCGCUGCCUUUGAUGUCGAACGUUGAUCUACGAAUGUAUCCUAUAUAGGGUCUUGGAGAAUCUUGGAGGCUUUGGCGCACUGGUACUCGACAUGUUUAGACCAAGUUGGGCUAGCUGAAGUUAAUAUUCCAAGAUCACGCUCAUUGUCCGUGCUUUCUAUAACGGUAUCAUGCAGCGUCUACGGGUAGAUGAUUAUGUUGUGCUUACGGGUGACUCUCAACACUUAGUAUUUGCUUACAUUUAACUCCAGGUUCACGUUGGUUGAGCCCUCCUCAAAUUUUAACAGGUCACUCUGCAGAGCAGCAGCAUCAGAAAUGGAAUUGAUGGUCUUAAAGAUUUUGGUAUCAUCAGCAAACGUAGCAAUCUUUGAACUAGUCACAGCAUUGGAGAGAUGAUUCUCGUACAGAAAGAACAACAACGGACCGAGGAUGGACCCCUGCGGCACUCCUGAUGUUACCAUGCAGAGAGGUUUCGACGUUGAACGGUUGCUUGCUGGCAUCGAUU